rnacentral:lncRNA from 10 species
AUGCCUCUUAUUAAAGAUCUGUUUUCCUGCAUCACAUAUAGAGGCUGAGAUUUGAAAAUGUAGGAGCUCAGAAAAUGACACCCCAAAAUAAAGUCCUCAAAAUCUGCUCUCUCUGACCUUCUCCCACCCUUCUGUCUCUGGCGUCUCCUUCUUUCCCAAGGUCCCAAGACCUCCAUUCCAGAGAGGGCCCUGCCCGAGACUCAGAAGGAAGGAAUGCUCCGCAGAAAGGCCAAGAAGAAUCUAACCAGACAGGCCUUGCUGCAUUUCCCCGCUCAGUCUAUUACCAUUAUAUUACACAUUUUUUGUCCAAUCAUAUUUCUACAUGGCUGUCCAUACAUUGUUAAACCUAGCAUAAAAAUGGACAACUUUCCCUGCAUCUUUAGGUCUUCAUUAGAAGGCUGCUGUGUCACAUAAAACUAUGACCCAAUAAAUUUAUAUGCCUUUUCUUCUAUUAACCUGCCUUUAGUCAGUGAUUUUUCAGUGAUCCUUCAGAGGUCAAAGGGGGGGGGGGGUUUUCCUUGGCCCUUACAAGAGCCC